GGAGUCUGGUCCGUGUCUCAGUACCAGUGUGGGGGACCUUCCUCUCAGAACCCCUAACGAUCGUUGGCCAGGUGGGCCGUUACCCCGCCUGCUGCCUAAUCGUACGCAUCCCCAUCCAUCGGCGACCGAAGUCUUUCGUGAAAAUCAGAGGCCUUCUUCUCACUGCAUCAGGUAUUAGGCUCCCUUUCGGAAGGUUAUUCCUGACCCAUGGGCAGGUUGGAUACGCGUUACUCACCCGUGCGCCGGUCGCCAUCAACAAAAGCAAGCUUUCGUCAUGAUGCCCCUCGACUUGCAUGUGUUAAGCCUGUAGCUAGCGUUCAUC
rnacentral:rRNA from 1 species